AGCGGGCGAGGUUGCUUCGGUAACUGAGCUAGCGGCGGACGGGUGAGUAAUGCUUAGGAAUCUGCCUAUUAGUGGGGGACAACAUUCCGAAAGGAAUGCUAAUACCGCAUACGCCCUACGGGGGAAAGCAGGGGAUCUUCGGACCUUGCGCUAAUAGAUGAGCCUAAGUCAGAUUAGCUAGUUGGUGGGGUAAAGGCCUACCAAGGCGACGAUCUGUAGCGGGUCUGAGAGGAUGAUCCGCCACACUGGGACUGAGACACGGCCCAGACUCCUACGGGAGGCAGCAGUGGGGAAUAUUGGACAAUGGGCGAAAGCCUGAUCCAGCCAUGCCGCGUGUGUGAAGAAGGCCUUUUGGUUGUAAAGCACUUUAAGCGAGGAGGAGGCUACCGAGAUUAAUACUCUUGGAUAGUGGACGUUACUCGCAGAAUAAGCACCGGCUAACUCUGUGCCAGCAGCCGCGGUAAUACAGAGGGUGCGAGCGUUAAUCGGAUUUACUGGGCGUAAAGCGUGCGUAGGCGGCUUCUUAAGUCGGAUGUGAAAUCCCUGAGCUUAACUUAGGAAUUGCAUUCGAUACUGGGAAGCUAGAGUAUGGGAGAGGAUGGUAGAAUUCCAGGUGUAGCGGUGAAAUGCGUAGCGAUCUGGAGGAAUACCGAUGGCGAAGGCAGCCAUCUGG
rnacentral:rRNA from 1 species